AGUGAACGCUGGCGGUAGGCCUAACACAUGCAAGUCGAACGGCAGCACAGUAAGAGCUUGCUCUUACGGGUGGCGAGUGGCGGACGGGUGAGGAAUACAUCGGAAUCUACUUUUUCGUGGGGGAUAACGUAGGGAAACUUACGCUAAUACCGCAUGCGACCUACGGGUGAAAGCAGGGGAUCUUCGGACCUUGCGCGAUUGAAUGAGCCGAUGUCGGAUUAGCUAGUUGGCGGGGUAAAGGCCCACCAAGGCGACGAUCCGUAGCUGGUCUGAGAGGAUGAUCAGCCACACUGGAACUGAGACACGGUCCAGACUCCUACGGGAGGCAGCAGUGGGGAAUAUUGGUCAAUGGGCGCAAGCCUGAUCCAGCCAUACCGCGUGGGUGAAGAAGGCCUUCGGGUUGUAAAGCCCUUUUGUUGGGAAAGAAAAGCAGCAGGUUAAUACCCCGCUGUUCUGACGGUACCCAAAGAAUAAGCACCGGCUAACUUCGUG
rnacentral:rRNA from 1 species